UCAAGAUAAGGCCAUACAUCAACUUCUGCUGAACCUGUUGUCGACACUAACAUUUCCCAUUUCUCAAUCAUCUCAUUACAACUCAAAUGCAUUGCUGGUAACAUAUUCUGUCAAAACAAAAAUCCUUAUAAUAAUUUUAAAUAUUAUUGCAUUUGCUCCGAGUCCCUUGAAGGGAAGGGAAGGGAAAUUGGUUACCUUUAAUUUUUCUAGGUGGAAGGCUGGGUUAAUUAACUUUCUAUGCGUUGUCCAUUUCUCAUCCUCAGCAGACAGGAGGCCGCCGGUAAUCAAGUCACCAAGUGGGUUUGGGUGUGGCUUCUGGUAAACGUUGGGCUUAGUCAGAAUCUCCUUAAUUAGUUCUGGAUCUACAAUGUUUAGCCUCGGGUUUGGCCCCCACCACACGUACGAAUUUUUACCUGCAGUGCAGUGCAAUUCAAAGAAAACUUAGAUCUAUUUUUCCAUAAACCCACCCUGACUGACUGAGGAUGAGCUCAUACAUCACAGAUCAUUAACUAGUCUUUUUUAGGGGGCGGGGUAAAUUAAUGAUGAUAUAACAAAUUAAAAAAAAAUAAUAUUAAUACUACCGUAUUUGUUGAUGAUGUGGUGGAUGUAGGGUAAGGCAUGAAGGGAGACUUUGUCGGAGAGAUUGAUGUGCUUGGGUUUUUCAUGUUUAGUCAUGGCAGCAUACUCCAUCAUGUCCCCAAAAACAAGUCUGUAGGGAUUUCCAUUGAAACCUUGAGCUUUCAGGUACCUCUCAAGCAUCUUAGGUGUCAACCACACCAUCUUCACUGCUAUACCAACUAAAACAAUUGAGAUUGCUAUUGAGGAUAUUAAUGGAAGAAAAGUUGCUUCCAUUUUCAAUGCCCACUCAACAAGUCAACGCACUCUUCCGAUCUACUAUCUUGCAUCUACAGACAACAUGCAGUUGUUAGCCGUCUGGUGUGGCCGGCCACACAUGUGUUUGUGUGUGAAAGAGUGUGUGUUUACGGAUUCCAGCAUUUGGACAUUUAUAAUAACUUGGGAGUUGCUCUCAUGGGCUCCAAAAUAUUGAUUUAUUUAGGUCCUUUACAAUAAUAUAGUACAACAUUUAAUAAGUAAUUACACUAUUAGUGCAUCAACAAAAUAAUUAUAAAAAUAAUAUACUUUUCAUAUUUAUUUAUAAUAUUAGUGCAAUUAGGAUUCCUUGGAGGAUUCAAUUCAUAAUAAUAAGAAAACUUAAAAUAAAGGAGAAAUAACUGCCAUAAUUAAUAAUUCAAAUUCAAAUAUCUUGGAUUUAACAACAAAAACAAAUUCAAAUUCAAAAAUAAUGAUUCAAAUUCAAAUAUUCAAAAUUUGGCAACGUCAUCUUCCUUCUCCUCUUCGCCGGUCAUCUUCCUCCUCCCCUUCGCCGGUGAGACCCAAUUUCAUGUCCAAAAGAAAAUAAUAACAUUGCAUAAGAGAGAGAUAAGAGAAUGAUGUGUAAUGUAAUGUUGAUAACUAAACCUUCUUAAAAAAGAUAACCAAACUUUUAUACCAAGGUAACUAAACCUUUAUACUAAGGUAACCAAUCUACCUCCACACCUGCAAUAUGAAUUAACUGGUUACCUUGGUCUGAAAGUUUGGCAACUAAUUAACUGCAUGAAGGUUUGGUUAUUAACUGCAUCAUAUUAAAAAUAAAUUGGUAACCUAAUAACACUGAAUUGGUUACCUUGGUAUGAAUGUUUGGCUAUCAACUGCACUUUGAAAAAAUUGCAAGUGUGGAGGUGGAUCAAUAUAUUCUCCAUUAAUUGUUAUGUAGGAUUGAAACAGAGAGAAAUUAGAAACAACACAGAAAAAAGGGUAACAUACUGAAUUUGUGUUUCUAAGAGAGAGAUGAAGAGUUCAUAGACAUGUAUUGCUGAUGAAAUGCCCUCCAAUGGUUUCUCGCUCUUUAAAAUCUCGUCUUUUCUCUUUUUCUUAUUUUUCAGGUGGGCCAUCUGCCAAGGUCAUUGUUACGCUUGAUCCUCUUCUCCUUAAUGACGAU
rnacentral:lncRNA from 1 species